AUGCACACACACACACACCCCUUCUCUGUGCAUGAAAGAGACAGGGCAUGGCGAGUGGUUGCUGCUGUUUUAAUAGAGAAAAUGCUGGCGGAAGGUGAACGUACCGCGCACAGGCUGGCAAGUGCCGUGGUACAGAUAAGUCUGCAGCACAUCAUGGGGAUCUUUGUGUAAACUGAGGCAAGAAUUCCAUAGAAUAGCAAUAAAAAGGUAAGUUGUUUACA
rnacentral:lncRNA from 1 species